CUCCAUGGUAACGCUGCGGAUGCCGCCAUCGCUCGUUUGUUUUCGCUCUUCCUGCUUUUCUUCGAUAUUUCAGGAUGAGGAAGAAGAAAAGCGACGUUAUUUGGUUUCUGUUAGACUUGAGUUUCACUCACUGAGCGGUGGGUUGAAAUUGUUUCCAGAAAAGGUUCGGUACCGCCGGUUCUGUUCAUGUGGACCAGGUCCGGUUGUUUUUAGGGUUCUAGAUUAGCUUUUUCAUCCGAACAGUGUCCGGAGUCUGGAGCUGAAGUUGGCCUCUGAUUGGGAGGUCGAUUAAAGGGUUAUUUCACUGAAUUUAAGGCUCAGGAAUCUGUUGAAGGUUCUGCUCCGGACGCAGGAGAAGACGCAGCAUGCAGGUGGUGCAGCAGAGGCACAUCUAAAAGUUGCAGGACUCCGGCCCUCCAGGACUGGAGUUUGACACCCUGAUCUAGAGCAACUGGAGGGCCGGAGUCCUGCAACUUUAGGUUCAUCUCCACUUCAACACACCUGAGUCAGAUUCUGAGCUGUUAGCAGAACCUGGCGGCACCGAGGAGGAGAUUCAGCUGUUGGGUUCAAGUGUGUUGGACCAGAGAGACGUUAAGAGCUGCAGGACUCCGGCCUUCCAGGACCAGGAUGGCCCACCCCGAUCUAGACUGAGCAGAACAUCUAGAAUGGGUGGAUCUACACUGACAGAUGUGCCCUGCAGGUGCUGCCACCCUGGGGCCUCGGCCUCCCUCUGCCUGCAGUGAUGCUGAUCGCUGUCGGUCUCUACAUGAUGGUUCUGGGGGUCGGGCUGUGGAUCCGCUACUGCC